GUUAUAUGGUCAAGCGAAUAAGCGCACACGGUGGAUGCCUUGGCGGUCAGAGGCGAUGAAGGACGUGGCAGCCUGCGAAAAGUAUCGGGGAGCUGGCAACAAGCUUUGAUCCGGUAAUGUCCGAAUGGGGAAACCCACCCGCUUGCGGGUAUCCUGCAGUGAAUACAUAGCUGCUGGAAGCGAACCUGGUGAACUGAAAUAUCUAAGUAACCAGAGGAAAAGAAAUCAACCGAGAUUCCGUAAGUAGCGACGAGCGAACGCGGACUAGCCCUUAAGCUGGAUUGGUUCUAGGAAAACGCUCUGGAAAGAGCGGCCAUAGAAGGUGAUAGCCCUGUAUCUGAAAGGGCCAUUCCAGUGAAGACGAGUAGGGCGGGGCACGUGAAACCCUGUCUGAACAUGGGGGGACCAUCCUCCAAGGCUAAAUACUACUGACCGACCGAUAGUGAACCAGUACCGUGAGGGAAAGGCGAAAAGAACCCCGGAGAGGGGAGUGAAAUAGAACCUGAAACCGUGUGCGUACAAGCAGUAGGAGCUCCGCAAGGAGUGACUGCGUACCUUUUGUAUAAUGGGUCAGCGACUUACUGUUCGUGGCAAGCUUAACCGUAUAGGGGAGGCGAAGGGAAACCGAGUCUGAUAAGGGCGCAUAGUCGCGGGCAGUAGACCCGAAACCGGGUGAUCUAGUCAUGCCCAGGGUGAAGGUGCGGUAACACGCACUGGAGGCCCGAACCCACUCCCGUUGCAAAGGUAGGGGAUGAGGUGUGAUUAGGAGUGAAAAGCUAAUCGAACCCGGAGAUAGCUGGUUCUCCUCGAAAGCUAUUUAGGUAGCGCCUCAUAUGUAUCCUCUCGGGGUAGAGCACUGUUAUGGCUAGGGGGUCAUCGCGACUUACCAAACCAUUGCAAACUCCGAAUACCGAGACGGACUGUAUGGGAGACACACGGCGGGUGCUAACGUCCGUCGUGAAAAGGGAAACAACCCAGACCCACAGCUAAGGUCCCAAAUUCACUGCUAAGUGGAAAACCAUGUGGAAAGGCACAGACAGCCAGGAGGUUGGCUUAGAAGCAGCCACCCUUUAAAGAAAGCGUAAUAGCUCACUGGUCGAGUCGGUCUGCGGGGAAGAUUUAACGGGGCUAAGCAGUGAACCGAAGCUUGGGGUGCAUAACUUUGUUAUGCGCGGUAGAGGAGCGUUCCGUAAGCCGUUGAAGGUGGAUUGAGAAGUCUGCUGGAGGUAUCGGAAGUGCGAAUGCUGACAUGAGUAACGAUAAUGCGGGUGAAAAACCCGCACGCCGAAAGCCCAAGGUUUCCUUGCGCAACGUUAAUCGGCGCAGGGUGAGUCGGCCCCUAAGGCGAGGACGAAAGUCGUAGUCGAUGGGAAGCAGGUUAAUAUUCCUGCACCUCGCGUAAGUGCGAUGGAGGGACGGAGAAGGUUAGGUGUACCAGGCGUUGGUUGUCCUGGGGAAAGGCGGUAGGUUUGGAUCUUUGGCAAAUCCGGGAUCCUUUAAGACCGAGCACCGAGACGAGCCUUUAUGGCGAAGUCACUGAUACCACGCUUCCAGGAAAAGCUCCUAAGCUUCAGCUUACGCAGACCGUACCGUAAACCGACACAGGUGGGUAGGAUGAGAAUUCUCAGGCGCUUGAGAGAACUCGGGUGAAGGAACUAGGCAACAUGGCACCGUAACUUCGGGAGAAGGUGCACCCUUUUUGGUGGCUCGUGCGAGCUAUAGCUGAAGAGGGUCGCAGUAACCAGGCCGCUGCGACUGUUUAUCAAAAACACAGCACUCUGCAAACACGAAAGUGGACGUAUAGGGUGUGACGCCUGCCCGGUGCUGGAAGGUUAAUUGAUGGGGUCAGCCGCAAGGCGAAGCUCUUGAUCGAAGCCCCAGUAAACGGCGGCCGUAACUAUAACGGUCCUAAGGUAGCGAAAUUCCUUGUCGGGUAAGUUCCGACCUGCACGAAUGGCGUAACGACAGCGGCGCUGUCUCCACCCGAGACUCAGUGAAAUUGAAAUCGCUGUGAAGAUGCAGCGUUCCCGUGGCAAGACGGAAAGACCCCGUGAACCUUUACUAUAGCUUUACACUGAACGUUGAGUUCGUCUGUGUAGGAUAGGUGGGAGGCUAUGAAACUGUGGCGCUAGCUGCAGCGGAGCCAUCCUUGAAAUACCACCCUGUCGUGCUUGACGUUCUAACCUGGGCCCAUUAUCUGGGUCGGGGACCGUGUAUGGUGGGUAGUUUGACUGGGGCGGUCUCCUCCUAAAGAGUAACGGAGGAGCUCGAAGGUACGCUCAGCGCGGUCGGACAUCGCGCACUGUGUGCAAAGGCAUAAGCGUGCUUGACUGCAAGAUCGACGGAUCAAGCAGGUAGGAAACUAGGACUUAGUGAUCCGGUGGUUCUGUAUGGAAGGGCCAUCGCUCAACGGAUAAAAGGUACUCCGGGGAUAACAGGCUGAUACCGCCCAAGAGUUCAUAUCGACGGCGGUGUUUGGCACCUCGAUGUCGGCUCAUCACAUCCUGGGGCUGUAGUCGGUCCCAAGGGUAUGGCUGUUCGCCAUUUAAAGUGGUACGCGAGCUGGGUUCAGAACGUCGUGAGACAGUUCGGUCCCUAUCUGCCAUGGGCGUUGGAGAUUUGAGAGGGGCUGCUCCUAGUACGAGAGGACCGGAGUGGACGAACCUCUGGUGUUCCGGUUGUCACGCCAGUGGCAUUGCCGGGUAGCUAUGUUCGGAAGCGAUAACCGCUGAAAGCAUCUAAGCGGGAAGCGCGCCUCAAGAUGAGAUCUCCCGGGGCACAAGCCCCCUGAAGGAACCAUGUAGACUACGUGGUUGAUAGGUCAGGUGUGUAAGUACAGCAAUGUAUUGAGCUAACUGAUACUAAUGAUCCGUGCGGCUUGACCAUAUAACCU
rnacentral:rRNA from 1 species